UACGUAGGUGGCGAGCGUUGUCCGGAUUUAUUGGGCGUAAAGCGCGCGCAGGCGGUGAGGUAAGUCCGUCGUGAAAUCUCCCGGCUCAACUGGGAGGGUGCGGGGGAGACUGCCUGACUGGAGGCACUCAGAGGCCGGUGGAAUUCCCGGUGGAGUGGUGAAAUGCGUAGAGAUCGGGGGGAACACCAGUGGCGAAGGCGGCCGGCUGGGGGUGACCUGACGCUGAGGCGCGAAAGCGUGGGGAGCGAACCGG
rnacentral:rRNA from 1 species